GCGAGUAUCGUAUAGUGGCUAUUAUGAUGCCUUGCCAAGGCAUAGACACGGGUUCAAUUCCCGUUACUCGCUCCA
rnacentral:tRNA from 1 species